rnacentral:tRNA from 1 species
GGCUUUAGCUUAAUUAAAGUGUUUGAGUUGCAUUCAGGAGAUGUAAUAUAGAGUUUUACAGGCCUU